rnacentral:rRNA from 1 species
AAAGUGGCGCACGGGUGAGUAACGCGUGGAUAAUCUGCCCGAGGAUUUGGGAUAACAUCUCGAAAGGGGUGCUAAUACCGAAUAAGCCCACGGGGUCUACGGAUCUUGCGGGAAAAGGGGGGGACCUUCGGGCCUCCUGUCUUCGGAUGAGUCUGCGUACCAUUAGCUAGUUGGUGGGGUAAUGGCCUACCAAGGCGACGAUGGUUAGCUGGUCUGAGAGGAUGAUCAGCCACACUGGAACUGAGACACGGUCCAGACUCCUACGGGAGGCAGCAGUGGGGAAUUUUGCGCAAUGGGGGAAACCCUGACGCAGCAACGCCGCGUGGGUGAUGAAGGCCUUCGGGUCGUAAAGCUCUGUCUGGAGGGAAGAAAUGAUUGGGAGCUAAUACCUCUUGAUCUUGACGGUACCUCUGAAGGAAGCACCGGCUAACUCCGUGCCAGCAGCCGCGGUAAUACGGAGGGUGCAAGCGUUGUUCGGAAUUAUUGGGCGUAAAGCGCGUGUAGGCGGUCUUUUAAGUCUGAUGUGAAAGCCCCGGGCUCAACCUGGGAAGUGCAUUGGAAACUGGGAGGCUUGAGUACGGGAGAGGAGAGUGGAAUUCCUAGUGUAGGAGUGAAAUCCGUAGAUAUUAGGAGGAACACCGGUGGCGAAGGCGGCUC